CAUUGAAUGGCUGAAAUUUUAAGCAAUGGUCUCUUAAACCAACUCAUAGUAUAAUACUUUCAAUGA
rnacentral:tRNA from 1 species